rnacentral:misc_RNA from 1 species
GAAGUAAAAGCGUAACAAGGUCUCCGUUGGUGAACCAGCGGAGGGAUCAUUACAGGACUCGCAAGACUCCUGCAACCCUGUGAACUUAACUAUAAGCACGUUGCUUCGGCGGGUGUCUCGGAGGGGGUUCUCCCUCCCCGAGACGCUAAACCCGCCGGCAGCCUACUAUACUCUGUCUCUUUGCGUUGGCAUCUCGAGUACAAUCAAACAAGUUAGAACUUUCAACAACGGAUCUCUUGGUUCUC